UACGGGGGAGCAAGCGUUGUUCGGAUUUACUGGGCGUAAAGGGCGCGUAGGCGGCCUCUGCAAGUCAGUUGUGAAAUCUCCGGGCUUAACUCGGAAAGGUCAACUGAUACUGCAGGGCUAGAGUGCGGAAGGGGCAACUGGAAUUCUCGGUGUAGCGGUGAAAUGCGUAGAUAUCGAGAGGAACACCUGCGGCGAAGGCGGGUUGCUGGGCCGACACUGACGCUGAAGCGCGAAAGCCAGGGGAGCGAACGGG
rnacentral:rRNA from 1 species